rnacentral:pre_miRNA from 9 species
AGGCUCCUCCGUGUCUCCCAGCCCAAGGUGCAGUGCUGCAUCUCUGGUCAAUUGGGAGUCUGAGAUGAAGCACUGUAGCUCGGGAAGGGAGAAACUGCACACCCUG